rnacentral:rRNA from 1 species
UUAUCAAAAACACAGGUCUCUGCUAAACCGUAAGGUGAUGUAUAGUGGCUGACGCCUGCCCGGUGCUGGAAGGUUAAGAGGAGUGGUUAUCUUCUGCGAAGCUACGAAUCGAAGCCCCAGUAAACGGCGGCCGUAACUAUAACGGUCCUAAGGUAGCGAAAAUCCUUGUCGGGUAAGUUCCGACCCGCACGAAAGGCGUAACGAUUUGGGCACUGUCUCAACGAGAGAC